rnacentral:rRNA from 1 species
CAAGGAUUCCCCUAGUAACUGCGAGUGAAGAGGGAAAAGCUCAAAUUUAAAAUCUGGCAGCGUUUGCUGUCCGAGUUGUAAUUUAGAGAAGUGUUACCCGCGUUGGACCGUGUACAAGUCUCCUGGAAUGGAGCGUCAUAGAGGGUGAGAAUCCCGUCUUUGACACGGACUACCAAGGCAUUGUGGUACGCUCUCAAAGAGUCGAGUUGUUUGGGAAUGCAGCUCUAAAUGGGUGGUAAAUUCCAUCUAAAGCUAAAUAUUGGCGAGAGACCGAUAGCAAACAAGUACCGUGAGGGAAAGAUGAAAAGAACUUUGGAAAGAGAGUUAAACAGUACGUGAAAUUGUUGAAAGGGAAACGCUUAAAGUCCAGUCGCGUUGGUUAGGAAUCAGCCUUGGUUUUUCCUUGGCGCAUUUCCUAGUCGACGGGUCAACAUCAGUUUUGACUGUUGGAUAAAGAUCAAGGGAAUGUGACACCUUCGGGUGUGUUAUAGCUUUUGGUUGUAUACAACGGUUGGGACUGAGGAACUCAGCACGCCGAAAGGCCAGGUCUUGUACCAUGUACGUGCUUAG